rnacentral:lncRNA from 1 species
CUAGACAGUCGAACAAGAGAGAUUAUCGCUCUCUUCUUUACUUCUCCUCCUUCUUCCAUUUCCACAUCAGCAAAUACACCAUGCCAGUAAAAAUAUUAUUACUGUAUAAGUCCUCAAUUUGUUUAACAGAUGCACAUAUCUAUUAGCAAAUACACCAUCCUCAAUAUUAUUACAGAGUGGCCUAUAAUCUCGCCCAUGUAAUUGUACAAACUACAAAGCUAAGAU